rnacentral:rRNA from 1 species
GCCAUCCUUCAAAGAAAGCGUAAUAGCUCACUGAUCGAGUCCUCAUGCGCGGAAGAUGUAACGGGGCUAAGUCAAUAACCGAAAGCGCGGAUUUGCACGAUGAGUGCAAGUGGUAGGGGAGCGUUCUGUAAGCCUGCGAAGGUGGUUCGAGAGGACUGCUGGAGGUAUCAGAAGUGCGAAUGCUGACAUGAGUAACGUUAAAGCGGGUGAAAAGCCCGCUCGCCGUAAGCCCAAGGUUUCCUGCUCUACGUUCAUCGGAGCAGGGUGAGUCGGCCCCUAAGGCCAGGCUGAGAAGCGUAGUCGAUGGGAAGCAGAUUAAUAUUUCUGCACCAUGUGCAAGUGCGAUGGGGGGACGGAGUGCGAAAGAUCAUCCGGGUGUUGGAUGUCCCGGUUUGUGAGUGUAGAAGGCCGACAGGCAAAUCCGUCGGCGGAUCUUCGAGACAAAGCAUCGAGGUUCUACGGAACCGAAGUGAUCGGAAGUGCUUCCAGGAAAAGCCUCUAAGCUCCAGCUUGCAUAUGACCGUACCGUAAACCGACACUGGUGGGCGAGUUGAAUAUACUCAGGCGCUUGAGAGAACUCGGGAGAAGGAACUCGGCAAAUUGACACCGUAACUUCGGGAUAAGGUGUGCCUUUGUAGCGUGAAGAGAGAAACACUCGGAGCGUGAAGAGGCCUCAGAGAAUCGGUGGCUGCAACUGUUUAUUAAAAACACAGCACUCUGCAAAGACGAAAGUCGACGUAUAGGGUGUGAUGCCUGCCCGGUGCUGGAAGAUUAAGUGAUGGGGUGAGAGCUCCUGAUCGAAGUCCCAGUAAACGGCGGCCGUAACUAUAACGGUCCUAAGGUAGCGAAAUUCCUUGUCGGGUAAGUUCCGACCUGCACGAAUGGCAUAAUGAUGGCCACACUGUCUCCUCCCGAGACUCAGUGAAGUUGAAAUGUUUGUGAUGAUGCAAUCUCCCCGCGGCUAGACGGAAAGACCCCAUGAACCUUUACUGUAGCUUUGCAUUGGACUUUGAACCGAUUUGUGUAGGAUAGGCGGGAGGCAGAGAAAGCGCAACGCCAGUUGUGCCGGAGCCGACGUUGAAAUACCGCCCUGAUUUGUUUGAGGUUCUAACCGCGACCCGUGAGCCGGGUUCGGGACCGUGCAUGGCAGGCAGUUUGACUGGGGCGGUCUCCU